rnacentral:rRNA from 1 species
GAACUGGUGCUUGCACUGGGGAUUAGUGGCGAACGGGUGAGUAACACGUGAGUAACCUGCCCUUGACUCUGGGAUAAGCCUGGGAAACUGGGUCUAAUACCGGAUAUGACCUUCCAUCGCAUGGUGGUUGGUGGAAAGCUUUUGUGGUUUUGGAUGGACUCGCGGCCUAUCAGCUUGUUGGUGGGGUAAUGGCCUACCAAGGCGACGACGGGUAGCCGGCCUGAGAGGGUGACCGGCCACACUGGGACUGAGACACGGCCCAGACUCCUACGGGAGGCAGCAGUGGGGAAUAUUGCACAAUGGGCGGAAGCCUGAUGCAGCGACGCCGCGUGAGGGAUGACGGCCUUCGGGUUGUAAACCUCUUUCAGUAGGGAAGAAGCGAAAGUGACGGUACCUGCAGAAGAAGCGCCGGCUAACUACGUGCCAGCAGCCGCGGUAAUACGUAGGGCGCAAGCGUUAUCCGGAAUUAUUGGGCGUAAAGAGCUCGUAGGCGGUUUGUCGCGUCUGCCGUGAAAGUCCGGGGCUCAACUCCGGAUCUGCGGUGGGUACGGGCAGACUAGAGUGAUGUAGGGGAGACUGGAAUUCCUGGUGUAGCGGUGAAAUGCGCAGAUAUCAGGAGGAACACCGAUGGCGAAGGCAGGUCUCUGGGCAUUAACUGACGCUGAGGAGCGAAAGCAUGGGGAGCGAACAGGAUUAGAUACCCUGGUAGUCCAUGCCGUAAACGUUGGGCACUAGGUGUGGGGGACAUUCCACGUUUUCCGCGCCGUAGCUAACGCAUUAAGUGCCCCGCCUGGGGAGUACGGCCGCAAGGCUAAAACUCAAAGGAAUUGACGGGGGCCCGCACAAGCGGCGGAGCAUGCGGAUUAAUUCGAUGCAACGCGAAGAACCUUACCAAGGCUUGACAUGAACCGGUAAUACCUGGAAACAGGUGCCCCACUUUGUGGUCGGUUUACAGGUGGUGCAUGGUUGUCGUCAGCUCGUGUCGUGAGAUGUUGGGUUAAGUCCCGCAACGAGCGCAACCCUCGUUCUAUGUUGCCAGCACGUGAUGGUGGGGACUCAUAGGAGACUGCCGGGGUCAACUCGGAGGAAGGUGGGGACGACGUCAAAUCAUCAUGCCCCUUAUGUCUUGGGCUUCACGCAUGCUACAAUGGCCGGUACAAAGGGUUGCGAUACUGUGAGGUGGAGCUAAUCCCAAAAAGCCGGUCUCAGUUCGGAUUGGGGUCUGCAACUCGACCCCAUGAAGUCGGAGUCGCUAGUAAUCGCAGAUCAGCAACGCUGCGGUGAAUACGUUCCCGGGCCUUGUACACACCGCCCGUCAAGUCACGAAAGUUGGUAACACCCGAAGCCGGUGGCCUAACCCCUUGU